AGGUGGAGAUUGGAGAUUAAACGGAAAUGAGUAAGAAUGAUUAAAUGGUUUAAUCAUUUAAUUAUGGCAAGGAUUAAUUAAUAUGUUAAUUAAUCAAACGAAAAAGUUCGUUAAAGACUUCGGGAUAGUUUUGGACCUUAAGGCCCAAUGGGCUUCGAACGUCAAACCCAUUAACUUAAGUUGUAUGACAAUUUAAUGAAUAAAGAUUCAUUAAAGCCCAAAAGCCCAAACAUCCCUAAAUGGCCAGCCAUGAUGAAAUGAAUUAGGGUUUUGGUUGUUUAGGUCACUUAAAGAAGUGACUAUAUAAAUGACUUUAUAACUAAAAUUCAUUAAGGAAAGAUUAAGGGUUUAUUUUGGGGGAAAAUUGGUGAGAAUUGUCUCUCCAUUUUCUCUCUAAAUAGGCCAACACCUUGGAGGGUACAUCUAGC
rnacentral:lncRNA from 1 species